rnacentral:tRNA from 1 species
UCCUCGUUAUUAUAGUGGUACAUAUCCCCGCCUGUCACACGGGAGACUGGGGUUCGAUUCCCCAACAGGGAG